rnacentral:rRNA from 1 species
AACCUGGUUGAUCCUGCCAGUAGUCAUAUGCUUGUCUCAAAGAUUAAGCCAUGCAUGUCUAAGUAUAAGUUUUUUACUGCGAAACUGUGAAUGGCUCAUUAUAACAGUUAUUAUUUCCUAGACGGUCAGUGAUUCAUUGGAUACCCAUGGUAAUUCUAGAGCUAAUACAUGCUUACAAACCCAACUUUUCGGAAGGGUUGCGCUUAUUAGAUACCGAACCAGCCUAGGCUCUGCCUAGAUUUUGUUGAUUCAUAGUGUUCUGGCGAAUCGCCUUUUACAGGCGAUGAGUCUAUCAAGUUUCUGACCUAUCAGCUUCCGACGGUAGGAUAUAGGCCUACCGUGGCUUUGACGGGUAACGGAGAAUUAGGGUUCGAUUCCGGAGAGGGAGCCUGAGAAACGGCUACCACAUCUAAGGAAGGCAGCAGGCGCGUAAAUUACCCAAUCCUGACACAGGGAGGUAGUGACAAGAAAUAUCAAUAUAAGACGUUUGUGUCUUGUAAUUGGGAUGAGCGAAACAUAAACCGCUUCUCGAGUAUCAAUUGGAGGGCAAGUCUGGUGCCAGCAGCCGCGGUAAUUCCAGCUCCAAUAGC